rnacentral:rRNA from 1 species
GAACGAGAAAGCGGGGGCAACUCCGUGAGUAAAGUGGCGACCGGGUGAGUAACACGUGACUAACCUGCCCUGGAGUGGGGAAUAACCUCGGGAAACCGGGGCUAAUACCGCAUAACAUCGCGAGGGGAAGAUCCUCGCGAUCAAAGGAGCAAUUCGCUCUGGGAGGGGGUCGCGCCUGAUUAGCUAGUUGGCGGGGUAACGGCCCACCAAGACGAAGAUCAGUAGCCGGCCUGAGAGGGCGCUCGGCCACACUGGAACUGAAACACGGUCCAGACUCCUACGGGAGGCAGCAGUGGGGAAUUUUGCGCAAUGGGGGAAACCCUGACGCAGCAACGCCGCGUGGAGGAUGAAGUCCCUUGGGAUGUAAACUCCUUUCGAUCGGGACGAAAAAAAUGACGGUACCGGAAGAAGAAGCACCGGCUAACUCUGUG